CAGAACAAAGUUCACACUGACAACAGUGGCAGAGUAGAAAACAGUAACAGAUACGUUGAAAAAGGAAAUCAGAGCAACAAUGUGCUUUUCUCUUUUUAAAAACAUUUCCUCUCACCUUCUAAAAGCAGUCAGACUUUAAAAUUUCACUCAGGGAUAAUUAUUUACAUCUGGAAGGAGAACUUAAACAUCUACAUAUUGAUGGAUCCUGAAAACUAACAAGCAUGGAGGUGCUGAGUGGCCCCUGGGCUGAUCUGGCCCUUUUCCUGCGACAGACUGUCACAAACACAGACACAGACAGCUUUCUUCCUCUCUGGCUCUUUGGAUUGUUUCUAUUCCUGUCAGUCUGCCUACUGCUGCUGCAGCUAAUUAUCUUCUUCAGCUGGAAACUCAGACAAGCUGAGGCGGAUCUGUCCCAGUUUGAGCCGAACCAAAGUGCCAUCCACAGGCAGAGGCACAGAAAUGCCAGCCUGACCAAGAGAAGUUCUGGAUUACUUCCUGAUACCUGACAGGGAUUAAUUAAACUGAUGGACAAAUCUCUAACAUACAGCUGGGUGGACGGAUCUGGAAAUAUUAAGGGACACUCUGAUCUCCUGGCACCUAAAAAAAAAUUAAAUGAGAAGCUUUUGUUUUUAGAAAUACCAGGCAACCUCUAAUAAUAAUAAUUUAAAAAAUGAGCAGUAUACGUUGCACGGGGUUCCAUGUUCUCAUCUUUCAUACAUCAGCUUCCUUCAUUUGCAUCUGAUUAUUAAUAAAAUAAAUGCAUGGAAAACAAACACACGUUUGUAGAGUAUAACAAUCGUUUAUUUGAACAGUGUUACACAGGGGCAAGAAGUGACUGCAUGUGGAAACAACACGAUUAUGCAGCUAGACAAAAUGACCUACCAGUGAUGUAAACAGGAAGCAAGAGGUGGCUGGUUCAUUUCUCCAAAAUGGGCUUCUUUAGAAAAGUGUUUUAGAUAUUUGCUUGUUUUUUUCCUUCUGGCGAGGCAGAUAUAAAAUUGUGCUAUCAUUGUAAAUAAAGCCUGAGAUUUAAGCGUGAAGAAUACAGAGUUUUAAAUAUACUGUUAAAAUCCAUUAAAAUGUCUUUUUUAAAAUCAAAAUGAAAAGUAGAAUGAAUAUUUUAUUAAAGCUGCAAACAUUUUGGAAAAGUUAACCUGACAGCCCCAAAGCUCCUGUGAUUGGUUGAAAGAGCCCAGAACCCCAAACAGGAAAGAGGUGGUAAAAAAACAAAACAGACAUUGAUCUUUAGUGGGUUUUCUUCAUCGUCAACGACAUACACAGUGGCAAUAAUACAAAUAAUCAGGAAGGUGGAGCAACAGAUCCCACCGUCCCAGUUGAAAAAACUGUGAAAGACUCUACAAAUACAGCUGAUGCGGCAAUAUGGAUUCAUUUAAUGAGAUUAAAUUAACAGCUUCCGAAGCUGCCAGAAGAUUUUUAUUCUUUUUUUUAUAUUUUUUUGUUUGUUUUACAAGAGGAAUAGAAGUUAAAACUCCUCCCCCACAUGGAAUGUCUUUUAGCUGCAUAGUAGAAGUAGGACCUGUGUUUAGAAAGCCUUGUCUUCACUAGACCGGCUUUACUUUCCAGACUGGAUCAUUAUGGAAAACCUGUGCUAUUUCAAAUUAAAAUAAUUUCAAUAAAGUUA